rnacentral:rRNA from 1 species
UUGAACGCUGGCGGCAGGCCUAACCCAUGCCCGUCGAACGGUAACAGGGAUCAGCUUGCUGAUUCGCUGACGAGUGGCGGACGGGUGAGUAAUGUCUGGGAAACUGCCUGAUGGAGGGGGAUAACUACUGGAAACGGUAGCUAAUACCGCAUAACGUCGCAAGACCAAAGAGGGGGACCUUCGGGCCUCUUGCCAUCGGAUGUGCCCAGAUGGGAUUAGCUAGUAGGUGGGGUAACGGCUCACCUAGGCGACGAUCCCUAGCUGGUCUGAGAGGAUGACCAGCCACACUGGAACUUGGACACGGUACAGACUCCUACGGGAGGCAGCAGUGGGGAAUAUUGCACAAUGGGGGCAAGCCUGAUGCAGCCAUGCCGCGUGUAUGAAGAAGGCCUUCGGGUUGUAAAGUACUUUCAGCGGGGAGGAAGGGAGUAAAGUUAAUACCUUUGCUCAUUGACGUUACCCGAAGAAGAAGCACCGGCUAACUCCGUG